rnacentral:lncRNA from 1 species
UUGAUUAGGAUUUAGGAUUUGGUUUAGGAUUUAAGGUUUACUUAAGGUUUGAUUUAGGAUUUAGGAUUUAUGAUUUGAUUAGGAUUUGGUUUAGAAUUUAGGAUUUGGUUAAGGAUUUGAUUAGGGUUUGGUUUAAGGUUUGGUUUAGGAUUUGGAUAGAAUUUGGUUUAGGAUUUGGUUAAGGUUUGAUUUAGGAUUUAAGGUUUGAUUUAGGUUUUAGAAUUUGGUUAGGAUUUAAUUUAAGAUUAAGAUUUGAUUAAGGUUUGAUUUAGGAUUUAAGAUUUGAUUUAGGGUUUAAGAUUUGAUUUAGGAUUUGUUAAGAUUUAAGAUUUAGUUAGUUUUGGCCUAAAGUUUGAAUGAAGUCCAAUGGGAUUUUAACUAGGAUUAAAUUAAGAUUGAAUUGAGGUAUAUUUGAGAUAUAUUUGUGAUCAUUCUAAUAUUUCUUUAAGAUUUCUUAUUAUUUCUUUGAAAUUUCUUUGAGGUUUUUUUGAAUUUUAUUAAAUCUUGCUUAGCAUUAUUAUGGUCUAAUUAGAGCAUUGUUAGUAUUCUAUUAGAAUUAAGAUUUUAUUGUUAUAAUUUCCAUUCUAACUUCCAUAACCAAGUGUCCGGAGCAUUCUCAAGCAAGACUUCAUGUAUUACGACACCGAUGUCGUGUUGUGAUUCGGCUAAUAUAUGAAAAUAAUGUAAUAAUGUAUUUAAUAUAUAAUUUAUUAAGUAACAUGGUGAGAGCCAUGUUAGUAGAUUUUAGUUGGUUGUAGGAUAUAAUUUGAUUAUUACUUUGAAAAGAGGUUGUUUAGAGAGAUUAUUAUAGAAUUUGUAUAACUUUAAUUUCCUUUUGAUAGUGGCUUUUAAGAUUGGUUUUGGUUGAUAGUAACUUCUAAAUAUUUAGAGUCACCUUUAUUAGACAUUGGUGACAUUUGAAAACUUAUUUUGGUUCUUUUAUUUGAUGUUUAGAGCAUACAUUAUGUAAAUCUUAUAAGAAAAAGGAUUGAAGAAGGAUUUUGGUAGAAAAGGGAGAAAUUAGGGCACCAAUAUAGAUGAAUGGAGAUGAAAAAUAAAAAUCUCCAUUCCUAUUGGUCAAAAAUCAUGACCAAUGGGCUUUGAGAAGGCUGCCCGAGGCCAUAUUAGGGAUUAGGGUUAGAUUCUCGAGGCCAUUCGAACUUUGAAGGUUACGGUUAGAAGGUUUAGGUUUUUGGUUAAGGUUUUGGUACAAGUUUUGUGUCAUUUGGGGUUUUUAUGAAGAAGUUAUAGGCGCUCAAAGUUAAGGUGUUAGUUUUGGACCUACUGUCACUCUUUUGGGCAUAACGCAAGCGUACGGAUGGCAAUUGAGGAUCGGCGACUACGAAUGGAGAGAGCACCUUUGCGGCUAUACUUUUCACAUAUUGCUUACUGGAUUCCAAAUUGGAAUGAAGGAGUUAUUGGAUUUUGAAGUCAGCACAUGCAAUCUAAGGGUAGUAAGUAAACAGAUUUACUAGUGUUCGUCUCUUGAGCUAUAUCUUGAGCAAUUUUGAGAGGUUUUGGCUCAAAAUUUCAAGGAAUGUAUAAUUUUAUGUUAGUAAACUUUGUGCAUAAGUUUUAUGACAUUUGGAGUUCGGGUUUUGAGAUAUAAGGAAAAUAAUUUUUGGGUGCUUGUAAAUUAGGGUUUGGAGUGUCUGCUAGGGUUUCUUAGAUGUCAGAAGAUCGGGAGUGAAUUUGCGGUUGGUUUUUUUUGUGGUAAAAUUUAAUGGUAAAUUCUACCUAUCUUGUAAAUUUGAAACAAACUGAACGGUUAGAUCAAUAGUUAUGAUUUUCUAAAAUGCGGGGCAAGAAAAUCCUUUGCGGGAAAAAUAUGUUUUGAAGGGAUUUCGUUACAUUUGGAGUUUUAUACAAAAAUAAAGGAGUUUUCGAAACCAAGAAAAGAAUCAUAUAAAGGUUUAAGGUACACUCUCUACAGCUAGAUACCCAGUGUAUUCCCAGAUAGCAAAUCAUGCCAUACGACACUGGCCUCCUUCUUCAACCUUGAUGCCAAUCUCCGAGAGCCAAUAUCUCUCUUUUUCACCAUUCGAUUGAUCUCAAAAUUCUCAUACACAUAGAAAAACAAGUCUAAUAUCUUAUCACAUAAAUUUCAUUCCAAUCUAACUAGUAGAUUGCAAGUGUGAGUCAUCAGAUUGACUCUCUAGUUGUUUUAGGACAAAAGAAUGCAUGUAGAGUGCCAAAAUUACAAUUAUUAGGUAAAGAUGGACUUAAAAGAUGUUAAAGAAAGCAGAAUAGUAUUAGUUGAGAAGAAAUGGAGUCUUAUUAAGUCUUGGAGGUAAUUAUUUUAGUUGGUUUAGUAUUUUUACUUAUUAUUGAGGAGUAAGGAUUAGUUACUAAAAUUAAUAUUUAUAUUGAUCUUAUAUCUAUAUGUAUUACUUAUAAAAAAACUAUAAAUGUUAGAUAGUAGUUAAAAGAAGCAUGAAAAAGAACCUCAUAUCUUUUUAGUUAUUUAUAUAAAAAGUAGAAUUUAUAGUAUAUUUAAAUUGAUUCUAUUACUAUAAAAAAUCAAUAAUAUAGGAAAUUAUAUCCUUAAGUUGCUAUUAGCAUUAUAAAAACAUUAUAGGAAUUUUUAGAAUUUAUUUAGAAAUUAUUUAAAAUUUUUAGUAGAUUCAAAUUGAUUUUUAUUACUAUAAAAAAUCAUCAAUAUAGGGAAUUAUAUCUUAAAAUGGAUAUUAGAAUUAUAGAAAUAUCAUAGGAAUUUUUAGAAUUUUCUAUGAAUUUUUAGGGUAAUUUUUAAGACCUUGGUAAAAUUGAGUUUUAUCACUUGGGGAGCCAUUAUGAAGAAAUGGAGUAAGGUUUGAAGGCUAUACAAUGCUUCUAGGCUAAUUGGAUGUUUUUGAACACCAUGGUGAAGUCAAAAUGCAAAAUUAUUAAUUCUACUAGUAGAAAAUAGGAGGAUCAGCAGCUCGUAUAGUCCUUGUAAGAAAGGAGGUGCACAAGUCCCAUGUGUGUUGUAGCACCUUGGAUGUAGGUAGGAUGAUAAGACUAAGGCCUCAAGGCCUCUUUAGGAAACCAAUAUAAACUACAUGUGAGCCUUAGUGAGGCUCGAACCCUUGAUCUAUAAGCAAGUUAUCCUUGAGGUAAAAUAUUUUCACUUCACUUUUUAAUUAUUUACUUCCUAUCUUUUUAAAACUUCAUAACUUACUCAUGGUAAUUCGGAUUUAUAUGUUUUUUAUGUCAUUGGAAAGAUAAUAAAAUUACCUAUCUAAAAAUUUAAUUUUUACUUUUUACUUUUACUUUUUACUAGGUGAAAAUACAGUGAAUAGAUUGUGACUUAGUUUUUGAUUGUGUACUAGCUUCAUGUCAUUCAUUUCAAUUGUUUUGUGGGUGUUCAUCUUUUGUUCUUGUUAAUUACUUACUUUCCUUUAUACCACCAAUUACAAGCAACUCUUAAUUGAGGCCAUCUUAUAAUUGGGGUUGAAGAGUGAAAUUUACACUCACAAUAAGAAAUCUUAAAAACUCUCUUUAAACCUAAAAUUCAACUUUCUAAGAUCUUGAUCCACUUAAACCUCAAUAAUCCUCAAUUCAACUCUUGGAUUGAGUUAAGAUUUACAAUACAUAUUAACCACAACUAUGACCAUUAAUCUACAAAAUUUUACUAGUAGAUAUGUUAUUAAAUUCUUGAAAUCACUAGAAACAUCAAUCCUAUUUUAUUUCACAAAACCUAAGUCAUCCAAAAACAAUCUUGACUUUGUAAAGCUCUUACAAAGUCAUAACAACUCCAAAACAUCCAAAAAUACUAUUCUAUAUUAUUUACAAUAGGGUUCAAAUUGUAAUAUAGAACAAUAGAUUGUAUGAGGUUCAAAUUUGAUAAAAAAGAUACAAUGAUAUCUUUUGUAUCAAAUUUGAACCUCAUACAAUCUAGUAUCUUUGCAUAGGUAAUGCAUUCAAAAGUCCUCAUGUAUGAAACACAAGGUUUCCUCCCACUCCAAGCUUCUUCAAGAGUUUUUGAUAUAAAUGCACUUGUAGGGCUCCUAUUCUUUAUAUACACUACUGUUACAAUGGCUUCUGCCUAAUACUCAAACCUAAGGUUUUGUGUAUGUAGCAUAUUCUUUGCUAUCUCCACAAUAGUGCGAUUUAUUCUUUCAGCAACUCCAUUUUGUUGUGGAGUGUAUGAAGUACAAGUUUAUCUUGCAAUGCCUUGAAUCUUCAAAAAAUCAUCAAAAUGCUUUGAUAUGUACUUAUCUCUAUUGUUUAUGUGUAAUACCUUAAUUUUGCAAUCACGUUGCUUUUCUACAGGUGCCUUAAACUCCUUGAAUCUAGAAAAGCACUCACUCUUACAUUUGAUGAUGUAAAUCUAUAUCUUCUUUAAAAAAUCAUCAAUGAAUGUGACAAAAUACCAUGCUCUUCCUAUUGAUAGUGUCUUCAUAGGUCCACAAAUAUCCGAAUGUACAAUCUCCAAUAACUUACUAGCACAUGUUGUUAUUCUACUUAGAAAUGAGAUCCUUUCUUAUUUACCUCGAAUACAACCUUCAUAAGCAAGAGUGUUGGCAUUGUAGCUAAAUUCAUCAAGAUUCAUUCUACUUACCAUGGAUUGGAGUUCCUUCAUACUCUUGAUAUUCAAAUAAUCAAGGCGUUGAUGCCAAAUACCAAAUUUAUCUUGAUCAAGUAAAAAUUUAGCAAAUACAACCACUUUCAAUUCCAUUCAUCAUCUUGCACUUGAUGAAGUAAAGGUUGUCAUAUCUAAAGCCCUUAGCAACAUCAUCUCCAUCCAAUGUCUUUAUAAAACAUCCAUUCUUAUCAAAUUGCACCUUACAAUCAUGUAAAAUAAAUUUACACACCUAGAGGAGAUUUUUCUUGAUUUUGGAUAAAUACAAGAUAUCCUUCAAUCUGAUCCUCUUUAUUUGUCCUCUCAUAAUAAUGUCCACUCCAAUGGAGCAUAUUCUAAUAGCUUGUACCAUGCCAUUGUCUUCUAUAAAAACAUUUGUUAUUGAAAUUUCUUUAUAAGUGUCAAAUGAAUACUUGUAUGGUGUCAUGUGCUUAGUGGCACCUAAGUCAACAAUCCACUUAGAUAUGGCAGCCAUGGAGGUGCCUUCACUUGCCAUGAAAGCAAAAUAAUCUCUUCCAAAUUGCUCAUGCAUAUUCUUCACACUUUUUCUAUCUCUUUUUUUGGCCUUGUAGCAAUUUGGUGCAAAAUGACCUGGUUUUCUACAAAUGAAGUAAAUUUCGACAUUACCUCAUUGGUAUGAAAGGUUGCUCUUGCUUUGACAUGAAAAGAGUACUGAAUCUUUACUUUGAGGCUCUUUUUCUUUUCUCUUGGUUACUUCAUGGGCAAGUCUUACCGUCACAUAGUCUAUUGUAAGUUCCUUCAACUUAAUGGACUCUAAUGUCACAAUCAGGUAGUUGUAGGACUCCAAAAGACUCAUUAACAAGGACAUGAUAAUAUCUCCCUCUUCUAAAGGCUUGUCAAUAAUUGCUAAUUGAUUUGCAAGGGCCUUUCUCUUAUUGAUAUGAGCCAUGAGAUCUUCACCUUUUUCCAUCUUGUAAGUGAAGAACUUCCUCCUUGUGAAGAUGAUGUUGGAUAAGUUCUUGCUCUCAUAUAUGUUGUAAAGAGUCUUCUAUGCUUCUACUGGUCUUUUGUAAGAGAUGAUAUGAAAAAAGUUGGCUUCAUCCAAAUCAAUGGAAAUUAUACCAAAAGCCUUAUUUUCACGUCUUUUGAAGUCCUUUCUCUCCUUAGCAUGUAUAUGUAUGCUUGGAGCCUCUUCACUUUCAUCUACAAUAUCCCAAAGAUCCAAAGAUGCCAACAAAAGAUCCAUUUUGAUCUUCCAAUGGUAGAAAUUUUCUCUUCUAAACUUCUCAAUUACUUUCAAAUCUUUAUCUUUAUUAGAAGCCAUGUCUAAGAAGGUCUCUAUCAAAAAAAAAUAUCAAGAAAAGGAGUCACUAUGAGCUUGAAAUCACCAAAAUAAUUUAACACUAGCAGAAUCUCAAAAUACCUUCUUGUGAUUAAAUGAGUACUUUUUCACUCAAAACAUAGUUAAUUCAAGCUUUGAAGCUUCUAAUAUGUAUGUGUAAUCCAAUAAACCUCACUCUCAUGAACUCUCACUCUUUAAAAUCAAUUAUUUUACUAUACAUACAAAGUAAGUAAAACAACAUCAGUAAAACAAAAGACACUAUCAAGGUCUUUCUAUAAUAUCUUAAACUCUCAAUCUUAGGAGAUAAGAAUCCACAAAGCAAUGUUAGAGAACUAUAAGAUCAAAAUCAACACCUCUUCAUGCCCUAAAUAUAAGUUUUAAUCUUAGAAAUCCUAACAUCAGUAAAUACUGUAAGAUCUAUUCUAUACAAGUACAACCACAAAAAAAUGAUACUAACUUACUUGAAUGGUACAACAAAGUGUAAGUGGAUCCAUAACCAAUUGAAGAAAUACAAUAAGCAAGACACAAGUAAGUAGAAAUCAGCAAGGUUGUAUAUAAGAGAAGUAUAAAAUGAGAUACCUCCCACUUUUAACAUCCUUUACUUAUAGGUGGUGAUUGCUAAUCAAGAAGACAAUUUCAAUCUUCUUGAUUUUACUUCCAUUUCUACUUCAUCCAACUAAAUCCUACUUUCUUUUUUAACUUAGCCGCCACCUAAAUCCUAACUGCCAUCUAAAUCCUAGCCGCCAUCUUAGUUACUUCCCUUCAUCCAUUUGCUGCCCUUUGACCAUUAGCAAUUAACCUAAGAUAAUACUUACUUACUCUAUCAUAUCUAUGGUAAUAUUUAUUUACUUUAAUAAUCUUCAAGAUCUUGAAUAUCUUCAUUACUAGUCUUAAGAAUUAUAGAGGCUUCCUUCUUCAUCUUCAUUCUUAUUAUCUUCAUUGUCAUUAUUAUUUUUUUCUUUUUUUGCUGAAGUUAAAGAUGUGUCUACAAAUACACUAUUACUUUUACUUAGAUACAUCUCCAAGUAUUCACAAGCACUCUUACGUUCCAAAAAUUCUAUAUCACAACUUUUGAUAAUCUUCUUGGUUUUCAAAACCAUUAGCCUAUAUGCCUUGGUAUCUUCACAAUAUCCAAUAAACACACAUUUUGUAUCUUUUGCAUCAAAUUUGGACCUCAUAUAAUUUGGUGCCUUUACAUAGGUAAUGCAUCUAAAAGUCUUUAUGUAUAAAAUAUAAGGUUUCUUCCCGAUCCAAGCUUCUUCGAGAUUUUUUGAUGUAAGUACACUUAUAAGGCAUCUAUUCGUUGUAUACAAUAUUACUACCAUGGCUUCCACCCAAUACUCAAAUCCAAGAUUUUGUACAUGUAGCAUAUUCUUUGCCAUCUCCACAAUUGUGUAAUUUUUUCUUUCAAUAACUUUAUUUUGUUAUAGAAUGUAUAGAGUAGAAAUUUAUCUUGAAAUGCCUUGAAUCUUCAAUAAUUCAUCAAAAUACUUUGACAUGUAUUCACUUCAUUAUUCAUGCACAACACCUUGAUCUUGUAAUUACAUUGCUAUUCUACAAGUGCCUCAAACUCCUUGAAAUUAGAAAAGCACUCACUCUUACAUUUGAUGAUAUAAAUUGACAUUUUUUUUGAAAAAUCAUCAAUAAAUGUGAAAAAAUACCAUGCUCUUCCUAUUGAUGGCAUCCUCGUAGUUCUACAAAUAUCCAAAUACACAAUCUUUAAUAACUUGCUAGCACAUAUUGCUACUCCAUUUGAAAAUGAGGCCUUUUAUUGUUUACCUUAGAUACAAUCUUCACAAAUAAGUAUAUUGGCAUUGUGGCUAAAUUAACUAAGAUUCAUGCUACUUACUAUGGAUUGGAAUUCUUUCAUAUUCUUGGCAUUCAAAUGACCAAGGCGUCGAUGCUAAAUACCAAACUUGUCUUAAUCAAGUGGAAAUUUAGCAAAUACGGCCACUUCAACUUCAUUCACCAUCUUGCACUUGAUGAAGUAAAGAUUGCCAUUUCUAAAGCCCUUGGCAAUAUCAUCUCUAUCAAAUGUCUUUAUAAAACACCCAUUCUUAUCAAAUUGCACCUAACAACCAUAUGAAAUUAAUUUACUCAGCCAAAGGAAAUUUUUCUUGAUUUUGGAUAAAUGCAAGAUAUCCUUCAAUCUAAUCCUUCUUAUUUGUCUUCUCACAAUAAUCUCUAUUUUAAUAGAAUCUAUUCUAAUAAUAGUUUUUAUCAUGCCAUUGUCUCCCAUAAAGACAUUUGUUGCUGAAAUUUCUUCAUAAGUAUCAAAUGAAUACUUAUAUGGUGUCAUGUGCUUGGUGGCACAUGAAUCAACAAUCCACUUGGAUAUGGCAGCUAUGGAGGUGCCUUCACUUGCUAUGAAAGCAAAAUAAUAUCUUCUAAAUUACUCAUAUAUAUUGUUGUCACAUUUUCUAUCUCUCUUUUUGGUCUUAUAGCAAUUUCAUGCAAAUGACCUAGUUUUCCACAAAUGAAGCAAGUUUUGACAUUACUUCAUUGGUAUGAAUGGUUGUCCUUACUUUGACAUGAAUAGAGUGUUGAAUCUUCAUUUUGAGGCUCUUUUUCUUUCUUCUUGGUUACUUUAUGGAUAAGUCUUGCGGUCACAUUAUCAUACUGUAUUUACUUAUAAUAUGUAAAAAUUAAUUAGAACAUAUAAUAUGUUUAUAAAUCUUGGUAUAUAUUAGAAUGAUUAAUAGAUUAAUUGAAAUAAAUUUGAUAUAAGAAACUUUAUUUUGAAUUUUAUCUAUUUUUAUUAUAGCAUUUAAAAAACAAUUAUAAGACCUAAAUGUCUAGUAUGAAGCCUUAAAAAGAGAUUAGAGCCUAAAAAUAAAAAUCUAAACUAUUAGUAGGCUUAUUUGAAGGGAUGAAAGUAAGGCAUGGUUGGAUGAAGGCAAGGAAUGAGGAUCUUCAUUCCUAUUGAUUGAAGGCCAUAUCCAAUGGACUUCAAGGAGACUAUUUGAGGUCUUUUUAGAGAUUAGGAUUUCUUUUCUAAAAGCAUUGAAGCUUUGGAAGCUAGAAUCAUCAAUUUUAGAUUUUUGAAUAUGGAUUGAAUAUAAAUUUUGUGUAAUUUGGAGUUUUUAUGAAGGAGUUAUUGGUGUUCAAAGUUAAGGUACCAAUUUCAUACCUACUUUUCUUCUUUGGGACAUAAAAUAUGUUUACAAAGAUCAACGAAGGAUUGGAGACUAGAAUUAAGAAGAAUACUUUCUUAAUUAUAGUUUUUAUAUAUUUUUUGAUGAAUUUGGAGUUUGAAUGAAGAAGUUAUAGAGGGUUGAAGUCAGCACAUCCAAAUCAAAGGUAGUAAAGAAGUGAUUUUAUUCAUGAUAAUGGUUGUAGCCAUAUUUUGAGUUUUUGAACAAAUUUUUGGCUCAAACCUUUUGAAGAAGGUAGAUUAUUGUGUUAAAAAGUUGUAUAUGUAAAUUUUGUGGCAUUUAAGUGCUUAUUUUAUGAGAUAUGAAGAAAAUUUCACAUGGAUAUAUAAAAACUAGGGUUUGAAGCUAUUGUUAGAGUUUUGGUGAUAUCUUAAGAUUAGGAUUAAGAAUUUGUAGUUGAAAUUUGUUGUGAUAGUUUUUAGAAGUACAUUAGUUAUUCAUAUAAAAUUUGAGUGUAUUUGAAUGGUCCAAUUGAAAGAUAUAAGUUUUUGAAGUUCAAGAAUAAUAUCUUAUAAAGAUAUAUAAGGAUUUAGAGUUCUUUUAAUCAUAUUUUAGAUAUUUUUAGGAACUUAAGACUUAUAUAUUUGGUAUAAAAGCUCCUAAAAGUAUUAUAUAUAUAUAUAUAUAUAUAUAUAUAUAUAUAUAUAUAAAAUUGAUCUUUCUUAUUUCAAGACUUGAUUGAGUAAUUAGUGGCAGCCAAGAGCCUAGUGUUUUCUUAAGGCAAACUCUCUCUACCCUGACAAUGUAUUCUAUUGUAAGUUCCUUGAAGUUGAUGGAUUCCAAUGAUGUAAUGAGGUAGUUGUGGGACUUGAAAAGACUUAUCAAUAAGAUCAUGAUAAUAUCACUCUCUUCUAAAAGCUUGUUAAUAAUUCCUAAUUGAUUUGUAUAAACUUUUACUUUAUUGACAUGAGCCAUGAGAUCUUCACCUUCUUCCUUCUUACAAGUAAAGAACUUCUUCCUUAUAAAGAUAAUGUUGGAUAAGUUCUUGCUCUCAUAUAUGUUGCAAAGAGUCCUCCAUGUUUCUACUUAUCUUUUGCAAGAGAUGAUGUGAGAAAAAUUGGCUUCAUCCAAAUUAGUGGUAAUUAUGCCAAAAGCCUUCUUUUCACAUCUUUUGAAGUCCUUCUUCUCCUUAGUAUUUACAUAUAUGCUUGGAGCCUCUUCACUUUCAUCUUCAAUAUUCCAAAGGUCUAAAGAUGCUAAUAAAAGUUCCGUUUUGAUCUUUCAAGGGUUGAAAUUCUCUCUUUUAAAUUUCUCAAUUACUUUCAAACCUUUACCUUUACUAGAAGCCAUAUUUAAGAAGGAUUCUAUCUAAAAAUAUCAAGAGAAGGAGUCACUAUGAACUAAAAAUCACUAAAAUAAUUUUACACUAGCAGAAUCUAAGAAUGCCUUCUUGUGAACAAAUGAGUCCUUUCUCAUUCAAAAUACUCUCAAUUCAAGUUCUGAAGCUACUAAUCAGUAUAUCUAUUCUAAUAAACUUCACUCUCAUAAACUCUCAUUCUUUGGAAUCAACUAUUAUCCUAUACACAUAAGGUAAGUGAAAAAACAUCAACAAAAUAAAAGAUACUAUCAAGGUCUUUCUAUAACAUCUUUAACUCUCUAUUUUAGGAGAUAAGAAUCCACAAAGUAAUAUUAGAGAUCUAUAAGAUCAAAGUCAGUACCUCUUCAUAUCCAAAAUACAAGUUUCAAUCUUAGAAGUCCUAACAUCAGCAAAUAUUAUAAGAUCUAUUCUACACAAGUACAAUAAUAAGAAAAUGAUAUUAACUUACUUGAAUGGCACAACAAAGUAUGAGUGGGCCCAUAACUUAUUGAAGAAAUAUAACAAACAAAAAAUAAAUAAAUAAAAAUCAGCGAGGUUGUACACAAGAGAAGUAUAGAAUGAGAUGUCUCUCACUUCUAAUACCUUUUAUUUAUAAAUAGAGUUUAUAUCUAUUAUAAGUAAACUUCAUUUUCAUCCAACUUUGCUUCAUCUAAUGAAAUCUUAGCCAUGACUUAAAACUUUAGCCGCCACCUAAAUCCGAGCUACUAUCUUACUUACUUUCCUUCAUUUUUUUGUUGCCCUUUAACCAUUAGUUACUUAUCUAAGAUAAUACUUACUUAUUUUACCAUACCUAUGAUAAUACUUAUUUAUUAUAAUACAAAUUGUGGCCUACAAUCUGUUACAAUGUCACCUAGAAACCUAUAGUAAUAAUAGACAUUAUCAAUAAAGAGUCUUACCAUCUCUCUAUCAAUAAUUGAUUUCUUAUAAGGAUAAAAUAUGUCAUCUUGUUCUUCGAUCAAUAGCUACAAAGAUAGUAUUAAAUGAGCUUGAUGAUAGAAGAUUUGUAAUAAAAUCCAUGGAGAUAGAUAACCAUGGUUGUCUUGGAAUAGGAAGGGAUUGAAGGUUCUUUGACCUUGAACAAGUAUCAUAUGAUAGUGUAAAUUCCUUAACGUCUUUCCACAUUUUAGGCCACCAAAAGUCUCUAGACAAAAAUUUUAAGGUCUUGUUGAAUCCAAAAUGACUAGUUGUGGGAAAGUCAUGAUAUGUUUGAAGAAUGCACAUGUGAGUUGGCUCUUUGGAAAUGAACAAAUGUUCUUCAAAGAAUAAGAAGUUGCCUUUAACCUUGAAUUUAGAAGAUUCUUCAAGAAGGUUGUUGACAAGAAGCUUGAUAUUAAGAAUAAGAGGGUCCGUGGUUGAGGCCUUAUGAAUCUAAUCAAGAAAUGAUAAAUCCACAAGCAUUGAUAUAUUUGUUGCUUGAAGAUGAAAUUGCUUAAGCUUUAAUAAGGUUGCAUGUUAUUGAUCAUAUGUUGUCUUGUCUUCUUUUGGUUGAAGGUAGGAAUAUCUUGAUAAUACAUUUCAUAAUCCUUGUUGGCUCUCAGGUUGAUAUAUGAUGCAAAAGUCAAAUUAUGAUAAAAAUACAUUCUAACGUGUUUGGCAAUGAUUCAAGAUUCAAGCUAACAUGAAGUAUUCAAGAUUCUUAUGAUUUGUAUAUACAACCACUUGAUGAGAAGUGCCUUCAAGAAAAAGGUACCAUUCUUGAAAAGAAUCUACAAUGAUAAGCAAUUAUUUAUCAUGGAUUUCAUAGUUGAAUUUACUUUUGAAAAUUUUCUAGAAUAGAAUGCAAUUAAAUGAAAUUUGCCAUUUUUUCUAUGAUGCGACAAGAUUGCUUCCAAUGCAAAGUUUGAGGCAUCAGUUUCCAUAAAGUAGGGCUUGUUGAAAUUGAGAUGUAUUAAAAUUAGAGCUGUUGUGGAAGCAUCUUUUAAGAAUUAAAAAGCUUUCUUUGCUUUAAGGCCCUAAUCUAGCUUAUCCUUAUAUUUCAAUUGAAUAAGUGGAGGAGCAAUCUUGAAAUAAUAUCUAACAAAAAUCCUAUAGAAGUUUACAAAUUCAACAAAGAAUUAGACAUCACAUAUAGUUUUUGGCUUUACUCAAUCGAUGAUUGCUUGUACCUUCUUUAGAUCCAUAAAUAGGCCUUUGUUGGAAAUAAUAUAUCCAACAAAUUUAACUUGAAGUGCAUGAAAUACAUACUUCUUUAAUUUUGCAUAUAGCCAAACACUUUGUAGCUUUUUCAACAUAAGAUGAACAUGUUUUUUGUGGUCUUCUGGUAUUGUAUUGUAACAUGACUAUAUGGUGAAAGAUGAUAAUAUGGAUCUUAUUAUAGAAGAGCCAAGUUAAAAGAUAAAGUAGAAAAAUAUAGAUAAAAGAUAGAGAGGUAGUAAAACUUUUAGUAGUAAUGCUACAUUUUUAGAAAAGUGACUUCUACUUACUUUGUAGGGCCAUAAAUAAGGCAAAACAAAGUAGAUUGGAAAAAUAAAUGAUAUAAACAUCUUUAGAAGAAAGUUAAGAGUAAAUUCGAGCAAAAUCUACUUAGAAAAAUUAGAUAUUGAUACCUAGAGAGAGCCAGUUAUGAACCAGGGUUGAAAUCAGACCCUGAGACACAAAAUUGAGUCUUGACGACAACUCUCGGACUCUUUGGUAGUUCAAAGAAUAGGAUUUGAUAGAAGAUUGAAUAAGGUUUCUAUGAGCAUUGUUUUUGGGUGAUUUGUAUUUGUAUUGACUUUCUAAGAGCUUUGCAAAGUCAAGGUUUUUUUUGGAUGACUUGGAUUUUGAGAAAUAAAAUAGGGUUUAUAUUUUGGAUGAUUUCAAGAGUUUUAUAAUAGAUCUAUGGAUAAAUUUUUUUGGAUUAAUGGUUAUAGUUGUGUUCAAAAUAUUUUAUAAAUUUGAGCUCGAUCUAACGGUUGAAUUGAGGGUUAUUGAGAUUUAAGUGAGUCAAGGUCUCAGAAAGUCGAAUUUUAGAUCUAGUGAGGAUUUUUAAGAUUUCUUGCAAUUUAAUAGUUGGAUUGGAGUGAAAUUUGUGUGACAGGAUGUAAGACUUGUUUUUUUAUGUAUAUGAUAAUUUUAAGAUCAAUCGAAUGGUAUAAACAAGAGAUAUUGGCUCUGAGAGAUUGGCAUCAAGGUUGGAGAAGGAGGCCGGCCAAUAUCCAAGCACGUUUUUGAAGUUAUCAGCUAUUUGUUAAUUCUGAUUCCUUUCAAAAAUUGUGUGCUUAUUUUUAACUUAGUUUUUAAGAAGUGUAAAAAAUUUGAGUUAAGAUCAAUGAUUCAUUUAUUAGUUAUUGAGGUUUAAUUUUGUUAUAGAAAUUACUAGGAUUUGGUUAGGAUUUGAUUUAGGGUUAGGAUUUGAUUAGGGUUUGAUUUAGGGUUCAAGGUUUGGUUAAGGUUUGAUUUAGGGUUUAGGAUUUGAUUAAGAUUUGGUUUAGGAUUUAGGAUUUGAUUUAGGAUUUAGGGUUUGGUUGGAAUUUGGUUUAAGGUUUGGUUUAGGAUUUAGUUUAGGAUUUAGGAUUUGUUUAGGAUUUGGUUUAGGAUUUAGGAUUUGGUUAGGGUUUGAUUUAGGAUUUAAGAUUUUAUUAGGAUUUAUUUAGGGUUUAAGAUUUAAUUAGUUUUGAUCUAAAGUUUGAAUGAAGUCUAAUAGGAUUUUAACUAGGAUUAAAUUAAGAUUGAAUUUAAAUGUAUUUCAGAGAUAUUUGUAAUCAUUCUAAUAUUUCUUUAAGAUUUCUUAUUGUUUUUUUGAAAUUUCUUUGAGGUUUCUUUGAAUUUGAUUAAAGCUUUUUUAGCAUUAUUAUGGUCUAAUUAGAGCAUUGUUAGUAUUCUAUUAGAAUUAGAAUUUGUUGUUAUAAUUUCUAUUCUA